ACGUGCAUCAAUUUCCUUCCCCCUCUCCCAUGCAUACCUAUCAACUUAAGUACAGAGGGUGUGCAUGCACUUCAGUAAUUAAUUCUCUCUUUCGUUUCGGCCGAAGCAACGACGAGCUCGGGGAGUUGCCGCGAGCCGAUUUCGACACCAACGACGCACCGCGGAGCCGUUCGAGGGUACGGUUGCAGUCGUAGCGUCGCAGGGAGCUUAGGCGAGGGCGUGUUUUCGUCGUUCUCGACGCCGCGUCGAUGUCCGAUUAGCCUUUGAGCGUCGACCAUCGGUAUUUCAGUUCGUACUCGGCGUAGGAGCGUCGGAUUUCGACAAGACUUGGUUCGUUGGAUUCGGGACUUCGAGAGGAAUCCACGAAGCCCUUACUUGCUGGAUUUGGUAAAGGUUUGCUAGAGUUUGGCGGGAGCUUGACUUCGGGCCUUGGGAGGUUUUCGGACGUUUUGGCAGGUUGUUCCGCAGCCGAGGGGAGUUCCGUGCUGCCAGGGAUUAGCGAGCGAGAGCCACAGGUUUCGGCUACUGCGCCUUCCGCGGAUCAGGAUCGAGGCAAGGGCGUCGCG